rnacentral:snRNA from 1 species
UUCCUUUAUCUGUCAUGAUUCUUAUAUUAGCAACUAUCACUGUUUAAUAUCUGAUACGUCCUCUAUCUGAGGACUAUAUAUUAAAUGGAUUUUGGAACAGGGAGAUGGAAUAGGAGCUUGCUCCAUCCACUCCACGCAUCGACCUGGUAUUGCAGUACCUCCAGGAACGGAAAAAAACUA